CUGUCGUCAGCUCGUGUCGUGAGAUGUUGGGUUAAGUCCCGGCAACGAGCGCAACCCUUGUCAUUAGUUGCCAUCAUUUAGUUGGGCACUCUAAUGAGACUGCCGGUGACAAACCGGGAGGAAGGUGGGGAUGACGUCAAGUCCUCAUGGCCCUUAUGGGUAGGGCUUCACACGUACUACAAUGGUGGUGACAGUGGGAUGCGAAAGCGCGAGCUGGAGCGAAAUCCCCAAACGCCAUCUCAGUUCGGAUUGCACUCUGCAACUCGAGUGCAUGAAGUUGGAAUCGCUAGUAAUCGUGGAUCAGAAUGCCACGGUGAAUACCGGUUCCCGGGCCUU
rnacentral:rRNA from 1 species